rnacentral:rRNA from 1 species
UACGUAGGGGGCUAGCGUUGUCCGGAAUCAUUGGGCGUAAAGCGCGCGUAGGCGGCCCGGUAAGUCCGCUGUGAAAGUCAAAGGCUCAACCUUUGAAUGUCAGCGGAUACUGCCGGGCUAGAGUCCGGAAGAGGCGAGUGGAACUCCUGGUGUAGCGGUGGAAUGCGCAGAUAUCAGGAAGAACACCAACGGCGAAGGCAGCUCGCUGGAACGGUACUGACGCUGAGGCGCGAAAGCGUGGGGAGCAAACGGG